GACGAACGCUGGCGGCGUGCUUAACACAUGCAAGUCGAACGGAAAGGGCCGGCUUUUGUCGGGUGUUAGAGUGGCGAACGGGUGAGUAACAAGUGAGUAACCAGCCCUCGACUUUGGGAGAACUACAAGAAAGUGGGGCUAAUACCGGCUAGGUGCUCCUGAUGCAUGGCGGGGGUUGGAAAGGUUCGGCGGCUGGGGAAGGACUCGCGGCAUAUCAGCUGGUUGGUGGGGUAGUGGCUUACCAAGGCGUUGACGGGUAGCCGCACUGAGAGGGUGACCGGCCACAGUGGGAUUGAGAAACCGCCCAUACGCCAUCGGGAGGCAGCAGUGGGAGAUAGUGCACAAUGGGCGGAAGCCUGAUGCAGCAACGCCGCGUGCGGGAUGACGGCCUUCGGGUUGUAAACCGCUUUCGCCUGAGACGAAGCGUGAGUGACGGUAAUGGGUAAAGAAGCACCGGCUAACUACGUG
rnacentral:rRNA from 1 species